UAUACCAAAGUAUAAGAUGUACUUGAAUUUUUGAUAUUUAAGGAGGAAGUUUAAUUCUUUCGGGUAUAA
rnacentral:tRNA from 1 species